rnacentral:rRNA from 1 species
ACGCUCGACACCUACGGGGGCAGCAGUGAGGGAUAUUGGUCAAUGGGGGGAACCCUGAACCAGCAACGCCGCGUGAGGGAUGACGGUCUUCGGAUUGUAAACCUCUGUCCUCUGUGAAGAUAAUGACGGUAGCAGAGGAGGAAGCUCCGGCUAACUACGUGCCAGCAGCCGCGGUAAUCUGAGCGGGCUGGCAAGGC